UGGAAACCUUAGUUGCCAAGUUUGGAAUAAUAUUAGCAGAAAUGAAACAGUUAUUCACCUGGCAGCCUGCAAAGAUUCUGUUACAACCUUGACAGUGAUAGCAACUGUCAUCACGCUCUUUAUCGUUGUAGCUUUGAGUUCGGCUGUAAAACAGUUUUGUAAAAAAACAAGACCAACAACUGUUGAUGAGGAUGAUGUCGACAGUGACAUAAUCUACAGAGAUGUUAAAGUGACAAAUGAUAACAAAUUAAACAUAAUUAACUCAAGAGAAUCAGCUGGGAUAGGUUACAGCACUAAUGUUGUCUAUGAAGUGGAUCAGCCAUGAAGAAGAUGG
ensembl:lncRNA